rnacentral:misc_RNA from 1 species
UCCGACUUAACGUCGGCAGUCUCGCCAGAGUGCUCAGCUUUCCUGUUAGCAACUGACGACAGAGGUUGCGCUCGUUGCGGGACUUAACCCAACAUCUCACGACACGAGCUGACGACAGCCAUGCAGCACCGUCUCACAGAUUCUCCGAAGAGCACCCCUCCAUCUCUGGAAGGUUCCUGUGGAUUUAACCCAGGUAAGGUUCUUCGCGUUGCGUCGAAUUGAACCACAUGCUCCACCGCUUGUGCGGGCCCCCGUCAAUUCCUUUGAGUUUCAGCCUUGCGACUGUACUCCCCAGGCGGGGCACUUACUGCGUUAGCGACGGCACCGAGGAUUACUCCCCGACACCUAGUGAACAUCGUUUAGGGCGUGGAGUAC